rnacentral:sRNA from 1 species
AGGUCAGUCAUCGCUAGAGGGUUAUUAUUGACAUUUACUCAUCAUAAAAUGUGAUGUCAGCCUACCAGCUCGGAGUGCAGUUCCUGGUUUCCAGUUUACAACAUUGACCAGUUGCUAACAUGUUAUCUCUGAGGAACUUGGAAUGAUAAAUACAGCCAUACUUAAAUAGAAGAUUCUUGGCCGUGUAGAUAAGGAAAAUAAGAUAAGGAUGGCAUUAGCUCUGUGUCUGCAGGUGCUGUGCAGCCUGUGUGGCUGGCUCUCGCUCUAUAUUUCUUUCUGCCACCUGAAUAAGCACCGAAGCUAUGAGUGGAGCUGCCGGCUGGUCACCUUCACCCAUGGAGUCCUCUCUAUAGGCCUCUCCGCUUAUAUUGGCUUCAUUGAUGGCCCAUGGCCUUUUACCCACCCAGG